rnacentral:rRNA from 1 species
GAUCCUACGGGACGCAGCAGUAGGGAAUCUUCCACAAUGGACGAAAGUCUGAUGGAGCAACGCCGCGUGAGUGAAGACGGGUUUCGGCUCGUAAAUCUCUGUUGGUAGUGAAGAAAGAUAGAGGUAGUAACUGGCCUUUAUUUGACGGUAAUUACUUAGAAAGUCACGGCUAACUACGUGCCAGCAACCGCGGUAAUACGUAGGUGGCAAGCGUUUUCCGGAUUUUUUGGGCGGAAAGCGAGUGCAGGCGGGUCAAUAAGGUU